rnacentral:lncRNA from 1 species
CCGGAGACCAGCGGCUUUGUCUCAGGUGAUCAUCAGCUAAGCCAAACAUCCGUUUAACCAGCCAGCAAAAAACCUAGGUACAAGGCAUUCAUGAUUCACUGCAAGCAGUGGGGUGCUAUCCCUGGGUCUGACCUCUGAGGCUGAGGAUCAGCAGGGCGAGAGAGACGAUGGCAGCGCGCGCUCGGCUCUGCUCUACUCUACUGUAUGUGUGUUAAAUAACUGCUAAAUGGAGCGACGCUGUCUUUGCAGGGGAGGGCGCCGCAUCGGGCAGGGAGGGGGGCCGGAGCGCGGCAGCGGCGGCGGGGCCCCNAUUACUACUGCGGCCCGUCGUCCUCCUCGUCCUGCUCCUCGAUGGCAGGUGGGUGGGGUGGGUGCGGCCGACCGGCGAGCAAUUAGUACCCGCGCAUGUGUGCACGCGCCCGCCCGACUGAGCCACUGAACUGGCCCUGCGGUGGUUGCAGUCCUGCAGACCGGCCGGCUUCUAGGACGGGCCGCCAUCUUUUUGUUUCUUUCUUUCCUUGGACCGGCGACGAUUUUCUUGACCUGUUUCUUGCGGCGCGCAGGGAGGAAGGAGGGGGUGCUGUACCCGUUCGCCGUGGUGAGGCCGCUGGUGCUGGACGGCGACACGCUCAGCGACGUCAACCGGCGGAUCCUGAAGNNNN